UCUACGGGAGGCAGCAGUGGGGAAUAUUGCGCAAUGGGCGAAAGCCUGACGCAGCGACGCCGCGUGAGGGAUGAAGGUCUUCGGAUCGUUAACCUCUGUCUGCAGGGAAGAAUGGUCACUGUGCUAUUCAGCAGUGAAUUUACGGUACCUGCAAAGGUAGCACCGGCUAAUUCCGUGCCAGCAGCCGCUGUAAUACGGAGGGUGCGUGCGUUAAUCGGAAUUACUGGGCGUAAAGGGUGUGCAGGUGGUUUUGCAAGAUUGAUGUGAAAGCCCCGGGCUUAACCGGUGAAAGCCAUACAUGACUGGAAGACUAGAGUGCGUCAGAGGGGGGUGGAAUUCGAAGUGUAGCAGUGAAAUGCGUAGAUAUUUGGAAGAACACCGAUGGCGAAGGCAGCCCCCUGGGACGCAACUGACGCUCAUACACGAAAGCGUGGGGAGCAAACAGGAUUAGAUACCCCAGUAGUC
rnacentral:rRNA from 1 species